rnacentral:snRNA from 1 species
NNGAAGAUUAGCAUGGCCCCUGCGCAAGGAUGACACGCAAAAUCGUGAAGCGCCAAUUCUUUUC